UGUCCGAGCUUCCAUAAUACUAUCCGGACUCCUCCAGUAGUCGACCUUCCACAGAGUCCUCCAGAUUUCUCCAACAGAUGAACUCCUAUCAUACCCUCUGGACUUCUCCAAUAAUGAGCUCCUUCAAUCAUCUAUUGGACUGCUCCAAAUGCUCUUUGGGCUUCACUAUCAGCUGAUUCUCUAUAGUGAUCGACUACUCUCCGAAUCUCUUCCAGACUUUCUCCUGUC
rnacentral:lncRNA from 1 species